AUGAUCUCUGUGACUUGGCUAUCAAGGUCACUCGCCACGAGCGCUUGCUGCGAAAAGUCGGACUUGAUGCAAUGGUGGCGGAGAUCAAGAUAACUAAGCCAGUUGUUUGCCUUGCUCUACGCAAAGCCCCACCCAAUAAGGCUGCCAUGCUAAACAAGCCUGGUAUGGAGCGGACUGCAGGCAAAUUUGCCAAUCGGCCACGUGACUUCACGUACGAUGUCUCAAAGGCUGAUGAGAUCUAUGAUUGCUUGGAAAAAGUAGGUUUAGUUGGGUCCCCAGAGCAUCAAGUCCAGUUAGACGCACUAAAGGGACAGAAACCCAUAUGCUAGUUUCAUGCCAGUCUAUUUACAACAUUGACCGCGGUAUCCUGCUUGCACGGACGACGUGUAGGAUUGCCGUAACUUCACUUUUUCGUUUUAGCGCUACUUGGAUACUUCAAGCCAAGAUCAGGACGAUGGGUGGGAGAUAGGGGCAUGCAUCCAAGAUCUUAUUUUCUCGUUGUUGCUUGUAACAUUAUUAACGAGAAAAAGUGGCAGGCUCUAUUUUCAUGCUUAAUGUUGUCGCCUUCGAAAUCGAUGCUUAAGUCGAUCGACUUGCAUUGGUGGUCUCUCUCUUCCCUCAUCGCAUGCGCUUCGCUUCGACCAGGUUUUAAGCCUUUGAUUGUCCGGUAG